AUACUUACCUGGCAUGGGUGAGGCCAUGAUAACACAGAUGGUUUUCCCAGGGCCAGGCUUAGGCAUUACAUUUUGGAUGUGGGGAAUUUGACUGUCAGUUUGUUGUAGUGUUGUGGCUUCAUAUGUUGCUGUGAUGCUGGAAACUUCCACCAGUAU